GCAAACUUGGUCAUUUAGAGGAAGUAAAAGUCGUAACAAGGUUUCCGUAGGUGAACCUGCGGAAGGAUCAUUAAGGAUUCGCGGGGGCGCGCGCGGCUCUUCCGCCGCGUCCCCAACACCACAACACCCUGUGAACAAUCUCUUGCUUGGCGACGCCGGCGCUGUGCGCGCGUGCCCUGGCAUGCGCGUCAGCACACGCCUGUCGCCGUUUUUAUUUCUUACAUCUUCGACUAAUCAAUCAUCAAUUACCACAAACACUAAUAGCAAAACUUUUAACAAUGGAUCUCUUGGCUCCCGCAUCGAUGAAGAACGCAGC
rnacentral:misc_RNA from 1 species